UACGGGGGGGGCAAGCGUUGUUCGGAAUUACUGGGCGUAAAGGGCUCGUAGGCGGCCAACUAAGUCCGACGUGAAAUCCCCAGGCUUAACCUGGGAACUGCGUCGGAUACUGGAUGGCUUGAAUCCGGGAGAGGGAUGCGGAAUUCCAGGUGUAGCGGUGAAAUGCGUAGAUAUGUGGAGGAAUACCGAUGGCGAAGGCAGCCCCCUGGGAUAACACUGACGCUCAUGCACGAAAGCGUGGGGAGCAAACAGG
rnacentral:rRNA from 1 species